rnacentral:rRNA from 1 species
UACGGGGGGAGCAAGCGUUGUUCGGAUUUACUGGGCGUAAAGGGCGCGUAGGCGGUCAGCACAAGUCAGUUGUGAAAUCUCCGGGCUUAACUCGGAAAGGUCAACUGAUACUGUGCGACUAGAGUGCAGAAGGGGCAACUGGAAUUCUCGGUGUAGCGGUGAAAUGCGCAGAUAUCAGGAGGAACACCGGUGGCGAAGGCGGGUCUCUGGGCCGAUACUGACGCUGAGGAGCGAAAGCGUGGGGAGCGAACAGG